AUUGAACGCUGGCGGCAGGCCUAACACAUGCAAGUCGAGCGGAUGAAGGGAGCUUGCUCCUGGAUUCAGCGGCGGACGGGUGAGUAAUGCCUAGGAAUCUGCCUGGUAGUGGGGGAUAACGUCCGGAAACGGGCGCUAAUACCGCAUACGUCCUGAGGGAGAAAGUGGGGGAUCUUCGGACCUCACGCUAUCAGAUGAGCCUAGGUCGGAUUAGCUAGUUGGUGGGGUAAAGGCCUACCAAGGCGACGAUCCGUAACUGGUCUGAGAGGAUGAUCAGUCACACUGGAACUGAGACACGGUCCAGACUCCUACGGGAGGCAGCAGUGGGGAAUAUUGGACAAUGGGCGAAAGCCUGAUCCAGCCAUGCCGCGUGUGUGAAGAAGGUCUUCGGAUUGUAAAGCACUUUAAGUUGGGAGGAAGGUCAGUAAGUUAAUACCUUGCUGUUUUGACGUUACCAACAGAAGAAGCACCGGCUAACUUCGU
rnacentral:rRNA from 1 species